UACAGAGGGUGCAAGCGUUAAUCGGAAUUACUGGGCGUAAAGCGUGCGCAGGCGGUUAUGUAAGACAGAUGUGAAAUCCCCGGGCUCAACCUGGGAACUGCAUUUGUGACUGCAUGGCUAGAGUACGGUAGAGGGGGAUGGAAUUCCGCGUGUAGCAGUGAAAUGCGUAGAUAUGCGGAGGAACACCGAUGGCGAAGGCAAUCCCCUGGACCUGUACUGACGCUCAUGCACGAAAGCGUGGGGAGCAAACAGG
rnacentral:rRNA from 1 species